rnacentral:rRNA from 1 species
UACGGGGGGGGCAAGCGUUGUUCGGAAUUACUGGGCGUAAAGGGCUCGUAGGCGGCCAACUAAGUCAGACGUGAAAUCCCUCGGCUUAACCGGGGAACUGCGUCUGAUACUGGAUGGCUUGAAUCCGGGAGAGGGAUGCGGAAUUCCAGGUGUAGCGGUGAAAUGCGUAGAUAUCUGGAGGAACACCGGUGGCGAAAGCGACGUGCUGGACCUCUUCUGACGCUGAGGCGCGAAAGCUAGGGGAGCGAACGGG